AUGCAAGUCGAACGAGCUUCCGUUGAAUGACGUGCUUGCACUGAUUUCAACAAUGAAGCGAGUGGCGAACUGGUGAGUAACACGUGGGAAAUCUGCCCAGAAGCAGGGGAUAACACUUGGAAACAGGUGCUAAUACCGUAUAACAACAAAAUCCGCAUGGAUUUUGUUUGAAAGGUGGCUUCGGCUAUCACUUCUGGAUGAUCCCGCGGCGUAUUAGUUAGUUGGUGAGGUAAAGGCCCACCAAGACGAUGAUACGUAGCCGACCUGAGAGGGUAAUCGGCCACAUUGGGACUGAGACACGGCCCAAACUCCUACGGGAGGCAGCAGUAGGGAAUCUUCCACAAUGGACGAAAGUCUGAUGGAGCAAUGCCGCGUGAGUGAAGAAGGGUUUCGGCUCGUAAAACUCUGUUGUUAAAGAAGAACACCUUUGAGAGUAACUGUUCAAGGGUUGACGGUAUUUAACCAGAAAGCCACGGCUAACUACGUGCCAGCAGCCGCGGUAAUACGUAGGUGGCAAGCGUUGUCCGGAUUUAUUGGGCGUAAAGCGAGCGCAGGCGGUUUUUUAAGUCUGAUGUGAAAGCCUUCGGCUUAACCGGAGAAGUGCAUCGGAAACUGGGAGACUUGAGUGCAGAAGAGGACAGUGGAACUCCAUGUGUAGCGGUGGAAUGCGUAGAUAUAUGGAAGAACACCAGUGGCGAAGGCGGCUGUCUAGUCUGUAACUGACGCUGAGGCUCGAAAGCAUGGGUAGCGAACAGGAUUAGAUACCCUGGUAGUCCAUGCCGUAAACGAUGAGUGCUAAGUGUUGGAGGGUUUCCGCCCUUCAGUGCUGCAGCUAACGCAUUAAGCACUCCGCCUGGGGAGUACGACCGCAAGGUUGAAACUCAAAGGAAUUGACGGGGGCCCGCACAAGCGGUGGAGCAUGUGGUUUAAUUCGAAGCUACGCGAAGAACCUUACCAGGUCUUGACAUCUUCUGCCAAUCUUAAAAAUAAGACGUUCCCUUCGGGGACAGAAUGACAGGUGGUGCAUGGUUGUCGUCAGCUCGUGUCGUGAGAUGUUGGGUUAAGUCCCGCAACGAGCGCAACCCUUAUUAUCAGUUGCCAGCAUUCAGUUGGGCACUCUGGUGAGACUGCCGGUGACAAACCGG
rnacentral:rRNA from 2 species